rnacentral:ncRNA from 1 species
CGACCCCAGGUCAGGCGUGAUCACCCGCUGAGUUUAAGCAUAUCAAUAAGCGGAGGAAAAGAAACUAACAAGGAUUUCCUUAGUAACGGCGAGCGAACCGGGAAUAGCCCAUCUUGAAAGUCGGACGUUUUCGGCGUUCGAAUUGUAGUCUGGAGAAGCGUCCUCAGCGGCGGGUCAGGCCCAAGUUCCCUGGAAAGGGGCGCCAGAGAGGGUGAGAUCCCCGUCGUGCCCAGACCCUAUCGCACCACGAGGCACUAUCUACGAGUCGGGUUGUUUGGGAAUGCAGCCCCAACCGAGCGGUAAAUUCCGUCCAAGGCUAAAUGUGGGCGAGAGACCGAUAGCAAACAAGUACCACGAGGUAAAGAUGAAAAGGACUUUGAAAAGAGAAUCAAAGAGUGCUUGAAAUUGUCGGGAGGGAAGCGGAUGGGGGCCGGCGAUUCGUCCCGUUUGGAUGCGGAACGGAGCAAUCCGGUCCGCCAAUCGAUUCGGGCCAUGGACCAACGCAGAUUAAGGUGGUGACCUAAGCCCGGGCUUUUGUUACGCCCACGGAGACGUCACUGCCUUAAUCGUGGUAUGCAGCACGCGCCUCACGGCGUGCCUUGGCAUCUGCGUGCUCAGGGCGUCGACAUGUGGGCUCCCCAUUAGACCCAUCUUGAAACAUGGACCAAGAAGUCUGACAUGUGUGCGAGUCAACGGGUGAGUAAACCCGUAAGGUGCAAAGAAGCUGAUUGGCUGGAUCCCUCACGGGUGCACAGCCAACCGACCUUGAUCUUCUGAGAAGGGUUAGAUUGUGAGCAUGCCUGUUGGGACCUG